rnacentral:sRNA from 1 species
UUUCGCCUGGCGUUCAAGAGGAUGAGCACCUCCGAAGGAGGUUUGAGCCGAGCGUAGCGAGACCACGUUGCUUUAGCAACGGCCCGCAGGGCAAGCAUCAAAGAUGCGCGUAAUCCUCUCUCGCCGACCA